rnacentral:rRNA from 1 species
UCAUGACGAACGCUGGCGGCGUGCUUAACACAUGCAAGUCGAACGGAGAGGCCCUGCUUUUGUGGGGUGCUCGAGUGGCGAACGGGUGAGUAACACGUGAGUAACCUGCCCUUGACUUUGGGAUAACUUCAGGAAACUGGGGCUAAUACCGGAUAGGAGCUCCUGCUGCAUGGUGGGGGUUGGAAAGUUUCGGCGGUUGGGGAUGGACUCGCGGCUUAUCAGCUUGUUGGUGGGGUAGUGGCUUACCAAGGCUUUGACGGGUAGCCGGCCUGAGAGGGUGACCGGCCACAUUGGGACUGAGAUACGGCCCAGACUCCUACGGGAGGCAGCAGUGGGGAAUAUUGCACAAUGGGCGGAAGCCUGAUGCAGCAACGCCGCGUGCGGGAUGACGGCCUUCGGGUUGUAAACCGCUUUCGCCUGUGACGAAGCGUGAGUGACGGUAAUGGGUAAAGAAGCACCGGCUAACUACGUGCCAGCAGCCGCGGUGAUACGUAGGGUGCGAGCGUUGUCCGGAUUUAUUGGGCGUAAAGGGCUCGUAGGUGGUUGAUCGCGUCGGAAGUGUAAUCUUGGGGCUUAACCCUGAGCGUGCUUUCGAUACGGGUUGACUUGAGGAAGGUAGGGGAGAAUGGAAUUCCUGGUGGAGCGGUGGAAUGCGCAGAUAUCAGGAGGAACACCAGUGGCGAAGGCGGUUCUCUGGGCCUUUCCUGACGCUGAGGAGCGAAAGCGUGGGGAGCGAACAGGCUUAGAUACCCUGGUAGUCCACGCUGUAAACGGUGGGUACUAGGUGUGGGGUCCAUUCCACGGGUUCCGUGCCGUAGCUAACGCUUUAAGUAUCCCGCCUGGGGAGUACGGCCGCAAGGCUAAAACUCAAAGGAAUUGACGGGGCCCCGCACAAGCGGCGGAGCAUGCGGAUUAAUUCGAUGCAACGCGUAGAACCUUACCUGGGUUUGACAUGGAUCGGGAGUGCUCAGAGAUGGGUGUGCCUCUUUUGGGGUCGGUUCACAGGUGGUGCAUGGCUGUCGUCAGCUCGUGUCGUGAGAUGUUGGGUUAAGUCCCGCAACGAGCGCAACCCUUGUUCACUGUUGCCAGCACGUUAUGGUGGGGACUCAGUGGAGACCGCCGGGGUCAACUCGGAGGAAGGUGGGGAUGACGUCAAGUCAUCAUGCCCCUUAUGUCCAGGGCUUCACGCAUGCUACAAUGGCUGGUACAGAGAGUGGCGAGCCUGUGAGGGUGAGUGAAUCUCGGAAAGCCGGUCUCAGUUCGGAUUGGGGUCUGCAACUCGACCUCAUGAAGUCGGAGUCGUCUAGUAAUCGCAGAUCAGCAACGCUGCGGUGAAUACGUUCCCGGGGCUUGUACACACCGCCCGUCAAGUCAUGAAAGUUGGUAACACCCGAAGCCGGUGGCCUAACCGUUGUGGGGGAG